rnacentral:tRNA from 1 species
AACUGGCCGGGAUAGCUCAGUUGGUAAAGCAAAGGACU